CUGGCGGCAGCUUACACAUGCAAGUCGAACGGUAGCAGGAGAAAGCUUGCUUCUUGCUGACGAGUGGCGGACGGGUGAGUAAUGCUUGGGAAUCUGGCUUAUGGAGGGGGAUAACUACUGGAAACGGUAGCUAAUACCGCGUAAUAUCUUCGGAUUAAAGGGUGGGAUCUUCGGACCACUUGCCAUAAGAUGAGCCCAAGUGGGAUUAGGUAGUUGGUGGGGUAAAGGCCUACCAAGCCGACGAUCUCUAGCUGGUCUGAGAGGAUGACCAGCCACACUGGAACUGAGACACGGUCCAGACUCCUACGGGAGGCAGCAGUGGGGAAUAUUGCACAAUGGGGGAAACCCUGAUGCAGCCAUGCCGCGUGAAUGAAGAAGGCCUUCGGGUUGUAAAGUUCCUUCGGUGAUGAGGAAGGCGGGUAUUUUAAUAGAAUACUCGAUUGACGUUAGUCACAGAAGAAGCACCGGCUAACUCCGUGCCAGCAGCCGCGGUAAU
rnacentral:rRNA from 1 species